rnacentral:rRNA from 1 species
UGGGGAAUAUUGCACAAUGGGCGCAAGCCUGAUGCAGCCAUACCGCGUGUAUGAAGAAGGCCUUCGGGUUGUAAAGUACUUUCAGUCGGGAGGAAGGUGUCAAGGUUAAUAACCUUGGCAAUUGACGUUACCGACAGAAGAAGCACCGGCUAACUCCGUGCCAGCAGCCGCGGUAAUACGGAGGGUGCAAGCGUUAAUCGGAAUUACUGGGCGUAAAGCGCACGCAGGCGGUCUGUCAAGUCGGAUGUGAAAUCCCCGGGCUCAACCUGGGAACUGCAUUCGAAACUGGCAGGCUAGAGUAUUGUAGAGGGGGGUAGAAUUCCAGGUGUAGCGGUGAAAUGCGUAGAGAUCUGGAGGAAUACCGGUGGCGAAGGCGGCCCCCUGGACAAAGACUGACGCUCAGGUGCGAAAGCGUGGGGAGCAAACAGG